AUUCGGUCAUGAAUGAGUGCAAGCUCAUUUUGUGAAGAGUGAGGCUACUUACAUAAUAUGGGCAUACCUAACAAAAUUCCAAGAGGGGCUUUAGCUUCUUCUGUUAAAUGUGUCUCAAACUCCUUUUGAAAGAGUUAAAUAAAAAGAAUUUGAGCACAAUUUCUAUAUGAAAAAAUACUUAUAGUUUUGUGGUAAGAUUGCUAUUUAGAGGUUUUGAAGAGUUGAUUCAAAUCCCAAUAACCAUUUACUACAAAAGGAAUAUUUUUACAAAUGUGGCCACAAGAGCUCUAACAUUUAAAAUAAAUAAUUUAUUGCUAUGAUUUUUCAAAAUUUAAAAGAAAAUAAUAGAAAUUAAGUUUUUGAGACUUUCAAUGUGUUAAGUGAACAGUAAAAAAAUUAAUUAUCCCAAAUUAAAUUAAUUUUUUUUUCUCUGAGCCACCAAUAAUUUAAGUGUUUGAGUUUGCCACUGCUUGUGUUCUUAAAAUUAUUUUAAACUUUCUUAAAAUUAUUUUAAACACUUUAAUUUUAAUAAAUAAAUUUAUUACAAAAAUAUUCAUCAUGAUAAUAACUAUUAAAAGCAAUUUAUUAUCAGUUAAUAUUAUAUAAUUUCAUAAAAUCUAUUUCAUUGAAUUCGAACUAUAUAAGAAAGAGAAAAGUCAUGCCACGGACAAAUAUUGCACGAUUGAAUUUAGUUGUUUAAUCGAUUAUUGAUUACAACUAUAAUAUUAUUAUUACUUUAUUUUUCCAUGAUAUUAUAUAUGUUUUAUAGCGGUUUAAUGACAACAAUGGAUGAAAAAAUUAAUUCCACUUAAUAAGUUGAAGGAUUUGGUUUUUGGUAAUGAACAAUUUAAGGGUUGGAAAGAUGGGAUUUGGUUUUUGGUAAUGAACAAUUUAAGGGUUGGAAAGAUGGGAUUUGGUUUUUGGUUAAAGAUGGCCAAUGGGCCGGGCGACAUAGGCAUCGCAUGUGUUUGUACAACAUGGCACGACACGAGCAUAUUUAGGCAAGGCACACAGCACGGCACGCACAUGGGUCGUGUCGGGCCUAGAGUUUUAGGCAUGCGGGCCUUAUAAGUACGAUUAGAGAUGGGCUAAAACGCGGCAUGUGAAAAGGCACGUAAUAAGCACGUUUUAUUAGUGGGCUAACACACAGCUCGUGGGCCAAAGUAUAUCAAAGUAAAAAUUUUUAAUAAAAAAA
rnacentral:lncRNA from 1 species